rnacentral:rRNA from 1 species
UAACACGUAUCCAACCUGCCGAUGACUCGGGGAUAGCCUUUCGAAAGAAAGAUUAAUACCCGAUGGCAUAGUUCUUCCGCAUGGUAGAACUAUUAAAGGAUUUCGGUCAUCGAUGGGGAUGCGUUCCAUUAGGUUGUUGGCGGGGUAACGGCCCACCAAGCCUUCGAUGGAUAGGGGUUCUGAGAGGAAGGUCCCCCACAUUGGAACUGAGACACGGUCCAAACUCCUACGGGAGGCAGCAGUGAGGAAUAUUGGUCAAUGGACGAGAGUCUGAACCAGCCAAGUAGCGUGAAGGAUGACUGCCCUAUGGGUUGUAAACUUCUUUUAUACGGGAAUAAAGUGAGGCACGUGUGCCUUUUUGUAUGUACCGUAUGAAUAAGGAUCGGCUAACUCCGUGCCAGCAGCCGCGGUAAUACGGAGGAUCCGAGCGUUAUCCGGAUUUAUUGGGUUUAAAGGGAGCGUAGGCGGACGCUUAAGUCAGUUGUGAAAGUUUGCGGCUCAACCGUAAAAUUGCAGUUGAUACUGGGUGUCUUGAGUACAGUAGAGGCAGGCGGAAUUCGUGGUGUAGCGGUGAAAUGCUUAGAUAUCACGAAGAACUCCGAUUGCGAAGGCAGCUUGCUGGACUGUAACUGACGCUGAUGCUCGAAAGUGUGGGUAUCAAACAGG